CCGGCGCACGGGUGAGUAACACGUAUCCAACCUGCCGUCUACUCUUGGACAGCCUUCUGAAAGGAAGAUUAAUACAAGAUGGCAUCAUGAGUCCGCAUGUUCACAUGAUUAAAGGUAUUCCGGUAGACGAUGGGGAUGCGUUCCAUUAGAUAGUAGGCGGGGUAACGGACCCACCUAGUCUUCGAUGGAUAGGGGUUCUGAGAGGAAGGUCCCCCACAUUGGAACUGAGACACGGUCCAAACUCCUACGGGAGGCAGCAUG
rnacentral:rRNA from 1 species